rnacentral:tRNA from 1 species
GCCGGUGUAGCUCAGUGGCAGAGCAGCGGUUUCGUAAACCGCAGGUCGUGGGUUCAAGUCCCACCGCCGGCUCCA